UAUCUCUCCGUACGGGGAAGGAUGAGAAGCUUCGACUAAGGUUCGAUUUGAGCGAAAGCGAGAAAGCGUUGCCGCAGGCAACGACCCGAAGGGCGAAGCGCGCAGCGCUGAGUAAUCCUUCCCCCACCACCA
rnacentral:sRNA from 2 species